UUAAUCCUAAUUCGUAAAUGCGCGCUGCCCUUUUUCGUUCCAAGUAAGACUGAUGCACAUUUGCAGGUGAAGUGGGUACCCAAGACAAAGUAUCCUGACGGCGAAGCACUCCUCCAUGAUUCCUUGCUAGUGGGUGCGACUGUAUCAUCCUCUCUGAAAUGAGAUGCCAUAUUAUCAGUCGUCAGUCUCCCACUACCUUACCCAUUUCUGGAAGUCGGUCUGUUCUUUUUAAGGGAUCGUCUUUUCUCCAUCAUCCCAAUCAUUUUUCAAUGCCGCUGUUUGUGGUCAGGUACGCGCAAUGCAGUGCAAACGCAGUGAACUUGAAUAAUCAUGUAGCUGUGGUGAAGAACAUGUCUUCCUCAUUGGCCUUCAAUCGUUCUUUUCCAAGAUAUAAUCCUUUUGCAACCUUACAAAUCAAUGUCGGUGUGGGAGAUGCAUUUAAUUCUAGCAAGUGUCACCAGUCAAAAGUUUCUGAGAACCUGAUUUUGGGCGAGGAUAAGGUUAUUGGCUACAUUGACUCUGUAGAAGGUAUUGAAGAUGAUAAGGAAAGGCAAAGACGAAGAAAGAUAGGGUUAGCAAACAUGGGGAGAGUGCCGUGGAACAAGGGCAAGAAACAUAGUGCAGAGACUUGUCAGCGUAUCAAGCAAAGAACAAUAGAAGCUUUGAGAGACCCCAAGGUAAGGAAGAAGAUGUCUGAACAUCCACGUCCUCACAGCGAUCAUAUCAAGGCAAAAAUAAGCUCUUCACUUCGAAGUAUUUGGCAAGAGCGCUUAAAAUUGAAAUGGUCAAGAGAAAGGUUCUUCUGUUCAUGGCAAGAAAGUAUAGCAGAAGCAGCUAAGAAAGGUGAGACCGACCAGCUAGAGCUAGAAUGGGAUAGCUACGAUAAGAUAAAACAAGAAAUGGUCCUCCAACAGCAUCAGUGGGUAGUAGAAAAGGCAAAGGCAAAGCAGGUGGCAAAGACAAGAGCAGAGAAAAUCAUUCUUUCGUGGGCAGAAAGCAUAGCAAAAGCAGCUAAGAAAGGAGGGAAAAACCAGCAAGAGCUAGAUUGGGAUAGCUAUGAUAAGAUAAAACAAGAGGAUGUCUUCCGACAGCUUCAGCGGACUGCAGAAAAGGCGAAGGCAAAGGAGAGGAAAAAUAUAAGGGCAAGGCUUGCUCAGAAGAGAAAAGAACUGCAAGAGAAGGCAAGAGCGAGAGGAGAGAUUGAGGUAAAGACACACAGAAAGUCAAAGGAAGACAAAGAUGACUUGGCUGUUUUCCAAGAGUCAAAUCUUAAGCAGAGACUGACAAAGAUUCACAAAAAGAAGUCCAUAAAUGAUCAACUAGCUGAUCGAGGGGACACAGUGGCUUCGCAUUUUGGAGCCUUGGAGAAAUUGAAUCUAGAACACAUAAAGAGAGAAAAGACACGGAGGGAAGUUUCACUCGCUGAUCAGAUCCAAGCUGCCAGGAAGAAAAAGGAAUCCCUGGCUAGGGAAGUUGUGGCAGCUCAUACUCUGAUCACUGAUCCAAUAGAAAUAUGAGUAAGCUUUGGUUUCCACCGUUUAACAAACAGUAAAUCUAGAAUGUAUGAAGACAAGGUAACGAGACCAGAAGACAGCUUUCGAGCUCCAAAUAUCAAGAUUCUGCAUGUUCUAUUGUGGUGAAGGGCCAUGGCUUGGAGGAAAUGACAGAACCAUAUUCUUUUUUGCUUUACUUAUGGUCUAUUGUCAUGACAUUAAUUACUGUAAUUAAUGUGACAGCGAGGACAACAAUUCAACAAAGACAAAGAUUGGUGGUAUGGAAACCAUAAUUAAUAUAAAGUAAUAAUGGUGGUUUAGAGAUGA